ensembl:misc_RNA Metazoa_SRP Metazoan signal recognition particle RNA
GCCAGGCAUGGUGGUGCAUGCCUGUAAUCCCAGCUACAAGGGAGGCUGAGGCAGGAGAAUCGCUUGAACCUGGGAGGUGGAGGUUGCAGUGAGCUGAGACAGCCCCACUGCACUCGCCUGGGUGACAGAGCGAGACUCUGUCUCAA